rnacentral:rRNA from 1 species
UACGAAGGGGGCUAGCGUUGCUCGGAAUUAUUGGGCGUAAAGGAUGCGUAGAUGGUGUAGUAAGUUAUCGGUGGUAAAUCGAGGCUCAACCUCGUGGAAGUCGGUAAUACUUUUAUGCUAGAGGAUAGGAGAGGUUAACGGAACUCCCUGUGGAGCGGUGAAAUGCGUAGAUAUAGGGAAGAACACCGGUGGCGAAGGCGGCGACCUGGUCCGAUACUGACGCUGAGGCGCGAAAGCUAGGGGAGCAAACAGG